rnacentral:rRNA from 1 species
UAGAAAGUUACUUCGGUACAUCGGUGACAGGUGGUGCAUGGUUGUCGUCAGCUCGUGUCGUGAGAUGUUGGGUUAAGUCCCGCAACGAGCGCAACCCCUAUUGUUAGUUGCCAUCAUUCAGUUGGGCACUCUAGCGAGACUGCCGGUAAUAAACCGGAGGAAGGUGGGGAUGACGUCAAAUCAUCAUGCCCCCUUAUGACCUGGGCUACACACGUGCUACAAUGGUUGGUACAACGAGUUGCGAGUCGGUGACGGCGAGCUAAUCUCUUAAAGCCAAUCUCAGUUCGGAUUGUAGGCUGCAACUCGCCUACAUGAAGUCGGAAUCGCUAGUAAUCGCGGAUCAGCACGCCGCGGUGAAUACGUUCCCGGGCCUU